rnacentral:rRNA from 1 species
AGUGAACGCUGGCGGUAGGCCUAACACAUGCAAGUCGAACGGCAGCACAGUAAGAGCUUGCUCUUACGGGUGGCGAGUGGCGGACGGGUGAGGAAUACAUCGGAAUCUACUUUUUCGUGGGGGAUAACGUAGGGAAACUUACUCUAAUACCGCAUACGCCCUACGGGUGAGAGCAGGGGAUCUUCGGACCUUGCGCGAUUGAAUGAGCCGAUGUCGGAUUAGCUAGUUGGCGGGGUAAAGGCCCACCAAGGCGACGAUCCGUAGCUGGUCUGAGAGGAUGAUCAGCCACACUGGAACUGAGACACGGUCCAGACUCCUACGGGAGGCAGCAGUGGGGAAUAUUGGACAAUGGGCGCAAGCCUGAUCCAGCCAUACCGCGUGGGUGAAGAAGGCCUUCGGGUUGUAAAGCCCUUUUGUUGGGAAAGAAAAGCAGCAGGUUAAUACCCCGCGGUUCUGACGGUACCCAAAGAAUAAGCACCGGCUAACUUCGUG